GACGAACGCUGGCGGCGUGCUUUACACAUGCAAGUCGAACGGUGAAGGUGGAGCUUGCUCCGCCGGAUCAGUGGCGAACGGGUGAGUAACACGUGGGCAACCUGCCCCUAACUUUGGGAUAACUACUCGAAAGAGUAGCUAAUACCGGAUAUGAAGUCUGUAGGCAUCUAUGGAUUUGGAAAGUUUUUCGGUUAGGGAUGGGCCCGCGGCCUAUCAGCUUGUUGGUGAGGUAGUGGCUCACCAAGGCGACGACGGGUAGCCGGCCUGAGAGGGCGACCGGCCACACUGGGACUGAGACACGGCCCAGACUCCUACGGGAGGCAGCAGUGGGGAAUAUUGCGCAAUGGGCGAAAGCCUGACGCAGCAACGCCGCGUGCGGGAUGAGGGCCUUCGGGUUGUAAACCGCUUUCAGCAGGGAAGAAGCGAAAGUGACGGUACCUGCAGAAGAAGCACCGGCUAACUACGUGCCAGCCGCCGCAGUAA
rnacentral:rRNA from 1 species